GAGCUCACUUUGGCAGCACAUAUACUAAAAUUAAAACGAUACAGAGAAGAUUAGCGUGGCCCCUGUGCAAGGAUGACGUGAAGAGUUCCAUAUUUAA
ensembl:snRNA U6 U6 spliceosomal RNA